rnacentral:pre_miRNA from 1 species
AUCACCUGGGGACCUUGUUAAGAUGCAGAUUCUGAUUCAGUAGGUGUGGAGUAGGGCCUGAGAUUCUGCAUUUUUAACAAGCUACCAGGUGAUUGGUC